rnacentral:rRNA from 1 species
ACGCUCGACACCUACGGGAGGCAGCAGGUGGGGAAUAUUGCACAAUGGGGGAAACCCUGAUGCAGCGACGCCGCGUGAAGGAAGAAGUAUUUCGGUAUGUAAACUUCUAUCAGCAGGGAAGAAAAUGACGGUACCUGAGUAAGAAGCACCGGCUAAAUACGUGCCAACAGCCGCGGUAAGUCUGAGCGGGCCGUGGCAAGGC